UCAGCCUAAAAAGUAGAACGGUAUCAAACUGUUUAAAUAUUGGGGAACCUUCCUCAAAGGCUAAAUAUAAUACAUAAGCGAUAGUGAAAAGUACCAUGAGGGAACAAACAAAAAUAGUAGUUUUAUAAGCAGUUCGAGGGCGCAAGCUCUAGAACGUACCUUUUGCAUAAUGGGUCACCAAGUUAACAUUAGAUGCGAGCAUGACGCGCAGUUAAACCGAACGUUAAAAUAACGAAAAGUGUCUAAAGUUAGACCCGAAGCCAAGUGAUUUUACUAUAGUCAGGAUUAUAAAAGUCCGAACGGGUGAUUGUAGCAAAAAUCUCCGAAGAACUGUGGUAGGUGUAGUGAAAGACAACACUGACUUGGAUAGCUGGUUUUCUGCGAAACCUAUAAUAGUAGGCAAUUUAAGUGAAUAUCUUAGCAGGUACAGAAUUUAAUCUCAGACAAGGCGUUCUAUACGUUUUAUAUUGUACAAAUUGGGGGACCGUGAAGGUUCUAUCAGUGAGUAUGUAGACUCGGAAUGGCAAAGAUAUAUCUUAAAUCAUCAGACAUAGAAUGAUAAGGUUGAAAUACAGCCUUUUUGUAGAAGUGAACCUUCUGCUAUAAACCAUCAAAUUGCGGGAACGCCCUAAAGCAAUCAUAACCAAGUAAGAGUAGUAAU
rnacentral:ncRNA from 1 species